CGGUCCCCUUUCGGUUAUCUAUGUAAAACAGUAAUCUAAGUAGUAUGGGUGUAUUCUUUCUUUCAUGGAAGAUUUUAAAAUGAAAUUCGCUCAUCUUCGAUUCACCAGGACAAGUUGCGACCUGCGAUGUUUCUUAAAACCAUAUCUAACGAGUGCCGAGUGCAAGAAAUGCUGACAGGACGAGCUUUGUUUUUAAUAGCCAUGGAAAGAGAAAAUCAUAAAACCAUUCGUGGACAUUGAAUCUAUUCCUGACUACGUUUGACCUUGUACUUUGAAUUCAGACAAAUGAUAAAUAUUUUUGAAAUUUAGCUAUCAUUUAAAUGUAUCAAGAAACAGAUCUUUUCUCCGUCGUGACUGACGUAUUCGAAUAUCUAUGGUGCACACAAGACCAAUUUAGAUUAGGUCAUGGCUGUUUUUCACGCAGAGUCAUCUUCUGGUGACGUCGACGGAAUACCAUGGACAAUACAUUAUUUUCGCGGCCGGAACCAAAGUAGUAGGGGAACCGGUAGAGGAUCACGCCACUCUAAAUAAUACCGACAUUGGUUACCUCGUAUACUCAUGCGUAGUAUAUACUAAAUAUGAAACGUUGCUUUGCCUCAAGGCGCCAUGGGAUUGGCGGUGAAGUAGGACCAGUGUAUCGUAUUUAAAAAAAACGAGUAUUUUAAAAAUACAAAUACUAUAUUUUAAAA